AUACGGAGGGUGCAAGCGUUAAUCGGAAUUACUGGGCGUAAAGCGCGCGUAGGCGGUUUGAUAAGUCGGAUGUGAAAUCCCCGGGCUCAACCUGGGAAUUGCAUUCGAUACUGUCAGGCUAGAGUGUGGUAGAGGGAAGUGGAAUUUCCGGUGUAGCGGUGAAAUGCGUAGAUAUCGGAAGGAACACCAGUGGCGAAGGCGGCUUCCUGGACCAACACUGACGCUGAGGUGCGAAAGCGUGGGGAGCAAACAGGAUUAGAAACCCUUGUAGUCC
rnacentral:rRNA from 1 species